CUGGUUUUCACUCAAACAGAACAUGCUUCUGACAGUGAAUAGUUGUACCCAACAAAGCUGGGAGUUGUCUAGGAAGCUAUGAAGAAAAAAAGGAGAUCAGAGAAUCAACAAGAGGGUGAUUAAAGUAAUUGACCCUAGAAUAUAAAUUGUUUGGGGAAAAACCACGGAAAAUAAUGGACAGAAGUGACAGGGGAGUUACCUAAAGUGAUAACGUGAGUCAGAGCAACGUAUUGCAGCCUUGAUUAAAUGGAGAGUGAUGGAGAAAUGGCAGCCACGAGAAAAGGUAGAGGAGCCAGGUAAUAGGGCAUGGGACUUACAGGAGCUGAGGAUGUGUCAAGGGCAUGGAGGAGUAAUGAUCUGAAAUCACCCUUGUGAAAGGAGGAGAGAGGCAACCCAGACUCCAGUGUGACUGAUAUAUGAGAUUGGAGAGAGAUAUGAUUUGAGAAGGCUGAAGAGGAAACAAUAUUGGCAAGGAUCACUUUGGUUUUCUUUAAAUUAAGAGAUUGGAGGGGCUGUUUAGGAAAAAGAUUAAAGAAAUUGAGGCAAUUUUGAGGAGUGCUAAUUGUGGAAAAUUGGAUAAAAGGAUUUUGGAGGGAGAAAAGAUAUUUUAAGUGAAAAACCAAGUUUCAGAAAAGUAUGUGUGAUACUGAAUAUAUGCAUUUAUAUAAAUAUUAUAUAUGUGUAUGUCAAAUUUUUUAUCUAUUUGUGGAAGGACACACCCCAUACCAAAGUCCUAACAAUCAACAUUGAGAAGGCUUUAUUAUCAGUGAUAUAUAUUCUUGUAUUGAUUUUUUUUUUCUUUGUUACCCAGGCUAGAGUGCAGUGGCACCAUCUCAGCCCACUGCAACCUCCGCCUCCAAGAUUCAAGCAAUUCUCCCACCUCAGCCUCCCGAGUAGUUGGGAUUACAGUAGAUGGAACAGUAAAAUUGUGCCUCCAAAUCUUCAAACACUUCAAAGGCAAAAACAGAGGAGAAGAAAAUAUAUCAUGGCCAUUUCAACAGUCUGUUUUUUCAACUUCACUAUAAGAACAGCAUAAAACUAUUUGUUACU
rnacentral:lncRNA from 13 species